ACGCUGGCGGCGUGCCUAAUACAUGCAAGUCGAACGGACAAGUAAGAGCUAGCUCUUAUGAGUUAGUGGCGCACGGGUGAGUAAUGUAUAGCUAAUCUGCCCUACACUAGAGGACAACAGUUGGAAACGACUGCUAAUACUCUAUACUCCUCUCUAGCAUAAGUUAGAUAGGGAAAGUUUUUCGGUGUAGGAUGAGGCUAUAUUGUAUCAGCUAGUUGGUGAGGUAAUGGCUCACCAAGGCUAUGACGCAUAACUGGUCUGAGAGGAUGAUCAGUCACACUGGAACUGAGACACGGUCCAGACUCCUACGGGAGGCAGCAGUAGGGAAUAUUGCUCAAUGGGGGAAACCCUGAAGCAGCAACGCCGCGUGGAGGAUGACACUUUUCGGAGCGUAAACUCCUUUUGUUAGGGAAGAACAAUGACGGUACCUAACGAAUAAGCACCGGCUAACUCCGUGCCAGCAGCCGCGGUAAUACGGAGGGUGCAAGCGUUACUCGGAAUCACUGGGCGUAAAGGACGCGUAGGCGGAUUAUCAAGUCUCUUGUGAAAUCCUAUGGCUUAACCAUAGAACUGCUUGGGAAACUGAUAAUCUAGAGUGAGGGAGAGGCAGAUGGAAUUGGUGGUGUAGGGGUAAAAUCCGUAGAGAUCACCAGGAAUACCCAUUGCGAAGGCGAUCUGCUGGAACUCAACUGACGCUAAUGCGUGAAAGCGUGGGGAGCAAACAGGAUUAGAUACCCUGGUAGUCCACGCCCUAAACGAUGUAUACUAGUUGUUGCUAAGCUAGUCUUGGCAGUAAUGCACCUAACGGAUUAAGUAUACCGCCUGGGGAGUACGGUCGCAAGAUUAAAACUCAAAGGAAUAGACGGGGACCCGCACAAGCGGUGGAGCAUGUGGUUUAAUU
rnacentral:rRNA from 1 species